CCUACGGGUGGCUGCAGUGGGGAAUAUUGCACAAUGGGCGCAAGCCUGAUGCAGCCAUGCCGCGUGUGUGAAGAAGGCCUUCGGGUUGUAAAGCACUUUCAGCGGGGAGGAAGGCGUUAAGGUUAAUAACCUUGUCGAUUGACGUUACCCGCAGAAGAAGCACCGGCUAACUCCGUGCCAGCAGCCGCGGUAAUACGGAGGGUGCAAGCGUUAAUCGGAAUUACUGGGCGUAAAGCGCACGCAGGCGGUCUGUCAAGUCGGAUGUGAAAUCCCCGGGCUCAACCUGGGAACUGCAUUCGAAACUGGCAGGCUAGAGUCUUGUAGAGGGGGGUAGAAUUCCAGGUGUAGCGGUGAAAUGUGUAGAGAUCUGGAGGAAUACCGGUGGCGAAGGCGGCCCCCUGGACAAAGACUGACGCUCAGGUGCGAAAGCGUGGGGAGCAAACAGGAUUAGAUACCCUAGUAGUC
rnacentral:rRNA from 1 species